GAGCAAGUGAUGAUGAUUGUAUGAAUCUGAUACUUCUUUCCAUGAAGUUUCAAAUAUCGAGCUUUUUAAAACUGAUGCUCA